rnacentral:rRNA from 1 species
CACGUAGGGCGCGAGCGUUGUCCGGAAUUAUUGGGCGUAAAGAGCUCGUAGGCGGCCUGUUGCGUCCGCUGUGAAAGCCCGGGGCUUAACCCCGGGUCGGCAGUGGAUACGGGCAGGCUAGAGGUAGGUAGGGGAGAAUGGAAUUCCCGGUGUAGCGGUGAAAUGCGCAGAUAUCUGGAGGAACACCGGUGGCGAAGGCGGCGUUCUGGACUGCAACUGACACUGAGGAACGAAAGCCAGGGGAGCAAACGGG